rnacentral:rRNA from 1 species
UACGUAGGGUGCAAGCGUUGUCCGGAAUUAUUGGGCGUAAAGAGCUCGUAGGCGGUCUGUUGCGUCGCUGUGAAAACCCGGGGCUCAACCCCGGGCCUGCAGCCGAUACGGGCAGACUAGAGGUAUGCAGGGGAGAACGGAAUUCCUGGUGUAGCGGUGAAAUGCGCAGAUAUCAGGAGGAACACCGGUGGCGAAGGCGGUUCUCUGGGCAUUACCUGACGCUGAGGAGCGAAAGUGUGGGGAGCGAACAGG